rnacentral:rRNA from 1 species
UGGGGAAUUUUGGACAAUGGGGGAAACCCUGAUCCAGCCAUCCCGCGUGUGCGAUGAAGGCCUUCGGGUUGUAAAGCACUCUUGGCAGGAAAGAAACGUCAUGGGUUAAUACCCCGUGAAACUGACGGUACCUGCAGAAUAAGCACCGGCUAACUACGUGCCAGCAGCCGCGGUAAUACGUAGGGUGCAAGCGUUAAUCGGAAUUACUGGGCGUAAAGCGUGCGCAGGCGGUUCGGAAAGAAAGAUGUGAAAUCCCAGGGCUCAACUUUGGAACUGCAUUUUUAACUACCGGGCUAGAGUGUGUCAGAGGGAGGUGGAAUUCCGCGUGUAGCAGUGAAAUGCGUAGAUAUGCGGAGGAACACCGAUGGCGAAGGCAGCCUCCUGGGAUAACACUGACGCUCAUGCACGAAAGCGUGGGGAGCAAACAGG